GCCCCAGUAUCCCAAUUGGUAGUAGGAGUCUGGCUUAAAACCGGAAAAUAGUGUCAGUUCGAAUCUGACCUGGGGUACCA
rnacentral:tRNA from 1 species